GCAUCGAUGAAGAACGUAGCAAACUGCGAU
rnacentral:rRNA from 1 species